GACGAACGCUGGCGGCGUGCCUAAUACAUGCAAGUUGAGCGCUGAAGGUUGGUACUUGUACCAACUGGAUGAGCCGCGAACGGGUGAGUAACGCGUGGGGAAUCUGCCUUUGAGCGGGGGACAACAUUUGGAAACGAAUGCUAAUACCGCAUAAAAACUUUAAACACAAGUUUUAAGUUUGAAAGAUGCAAUUGCAUCACUCAAAGAUGAUCCCGCGUUGUAUUAGCUAGUUGGUGAGGUAAAGGCUCACCAAGGCGAUGAUACAUAGCCGACCUGAGAGGGUGAUCGGCCGCAUUGGGACGGAGACACGGCCCAAACUCCUACGGGAGGCAGCAGUAGGGAAUCUUCGGCAAGGGACGAAAGUCUGACCGAGAAACGCCGCGGGAGGGAAGAAGGUUGUCGGGUCGUAAAACUCUGUUGGUAGAGAAGAACGUUGGUGAGAGUGGAAAGCUCAUCAAGUGACGGUAACUACCCAGAAAGGGACGGCUAACUACGUG
rnacentral:rRNA from 1 species